CAGAAGCUGUGUGUGUUGGGGCUGGGUGUGUGGUGAUAACUGCAGCUUGCUGCCCCUGCCCAUCAUUUUGCAGGGGAUGGGGGUGAUUUGUAUCUUUUUCCAAGCGGAGCCUGAAGCAGGCUCAUCCUGCCCUGCCUGAGAGGAUGAGAGUUUGGUGGCAGGGCGUCAGGAGCUGUCCCUUGGCAGAGGCACUGAAGGAUUUAUUUUAGUGGAUUUCCCUCUGCAGUACCUGUGGUCUCUCCUUUGUUGGUGCUGUUUGCAAAAGACUUCUCAGCUGCCUGAAUGACUCGAUUCUGAAAGCUGUCUCUUCAGAGAAGAAGCAUGGCUUAAGGGUGCAGUGGUCUGUCAUGGUAGAAAUGCCUUCACUGUCAUCAAAUACCAGAAGAUAAGGAUGUGGUGUGAUGAUCCUGAGCUCGGUGUACCAAGUGCUUCCAAGUGAUGCGUUGUUCUGGACUCCUUAAGCAGGCAGGUUCCUGGCGCCACCAAGCAUCUGGUUCUGCAGCUGGUUCAUGCCAAACAAGGCUUGUGUCCUGUGACACUGCACCCGCAACAAGAACAAAGCUGAAGGAAGCUAAGGCUGCAAGGAGAAGCUGGAGCAAACACGGGCCAUGGACAGCAGACUGGAAAGCAUCUGAAUAGCAAGGUUGAGUGGCAAAAUCAGACACAUAUUGUUGCAGGCCUUUUGCUUGCAUGCUUACAAAGACAGGUACAACCUCAAAUGUGGGAUUGUGGGAGUGUUGUGAGUUCAUCUAGAGGGAAGAAAUUCAAAAAUCUCUCCAGCUCCUGAAGAAAAAUGUAUGCCAAUUAAUUCUGAAUUGGGAUUUUCCUGUACAUUUGAUCUACUUCAGAAUGCACCACAAGGAAAGCUUCCUGUGAGGAAAGCUUAGAGAUGCUCUUAGGGAAAAGGCACCAUCGUAACUCUCCUGUUUCCUGGAGGGUUUGAGGCAGAGCUCUGCUUGAUGCACAUCCUAUAAAGGGAAUAUAAGGCCCUACCUAAUUCAGCCUCCUCAGAUUCCUGUUUUUUAGUCCAACCUUCAUUACCAGAUGAUCCUUCCCUGUGUUUAACUGCUUUCCUAGUUUCUGUAGAGUGUUUUCUGACUUGCUUGAACCCACAAAAAAUGAAUCCUUUCCCUUGCUUUCAACAGCAGAAUGCUUUGGCAUAUGAGACGCUUAUGUGGAACAAAAUCAGGGAGCUUGGAUGUGACUUGACAAAUGAGCAACGCAAAACCAACAUUGGAUGGCUUCUGUGGCAUAAGCUGUGUAGAUGGCAGGCAGUAGGGUGUGCUGCUUAAAAACCUUUGUGAAAUCUGAUUAAUGUUGUUAGGGGUUUAAAAAGCUUUCCCUUCAGGCUGUAUCUUUCCUUGUGCUGUUUACGUUGGGGUGGUACAUACCCCCAAAGCCCUCCCUCUGCUUCCAUCCCCUCUGUCUUUAUCUAGUCAGUUUGGGCUGGAUGCUUCUGGAAUAAUGACUGCAUCCAAAACUAAUCACAGUGACUUCCAGAUCUGGAUCUGAUUACUGACAACAACAACAAGAGGCAGCCCUGUUUUCUUUCUAUUAGAUGCUUGUAGUGGGGGGACUGGAUUUGUUUCUGCAGUUUUGUUCUCCAUUCAUGUCAUUAUUUACCAGCAAUACACAAUUAUGUCCUUUUUUGUUCAGCUUUAUUCCCUUGUCCUUGUGUGAUAUUGUUAUAGGCACAAAGUAUCCCAGUUUUUUAACACUUCGUUAUUUAUUAAUGCCACAGAUCGUGGGAUGAAGGUUUGUCAGCAUCCUCAUUUUUUCUUCUAUUGACAGAUAAAGUAACUGUACAGAAGCUGAUUUGUUAAUAAAUGGUUUUCAAAGGA